rnacentral:rRNA from 1 species
GAUGAACGCUGGCGGCGUGCCUAAUACAUGCAAGUCGAGCGAACGGACGAGAAGCUUGCUUCUCUGAUGUUAGCGGCGGACGGGUGAGUAACACGUGGAUAACCUACCUAUAAGACUGGGAUAGCUUCGGGAAACCGGAGCUAAUACCGGAUAAUAUUUUGAACCGCACGGUUCAAAAGUGAAAGACGGUCUUGCUGUCACUUAUAGAUGGAUCCGCGCUGCAUUAGCUAGUUGGUAAGGUAACGGCUUACCAAGGCAACGAUGCAUAGCCGACCUGAGAGGGUGAUCGGCCACACUGGAACUGAGACACGGUCCAGACUCCUACGGGAGGCAGCAGUAGGGAAUCUUCCGCAAUGGGCGAAAGCCUGACGGAGCAACGCCGCGUGAGUGAUGAAGGUCUUCGGAUCGUAAAACUCUGUUAUUAGGGAAGAACAUAUGUGUAAGUAACUGUGCACACCUUGACGGUACCUAAUCAGAAAGCCACGGCUAACUACGUG